rnacentral:lncRNA from 1 species
GUGUAAACCAGACUUGGUCAUUUUUUCUCCAGUGAGCUCAGGAAAAAGUAAAUUGUUGAAUCAAAUUGUUCAUGUGUAGGGUUGGAUCCUGUCUUUAUUUAAAAUAUUGAUAUUUUGUUUCAUCAUGAAUUAUUAAGUUUGACUUUUUAGAAUAUUAAAUUAAGUAGUAUCUAUCUUUACUUUUUAAGUAUUUUGUUGACCCAUUAAUUUUGCUUCUGAGAUGCUUACCUUUCCCUAGCCCUGGUCCUGUUGGUAGUUUCUAUCUUGCAAGUUCAAAUAUCAUCACAGCAGUAGUGAUGGUGGUCACAGCUGAAAUCUGAGUGGUGAGAUCUGAAUCAAGUCGAUCUCCAUUCUGAACUUGAGGUAGUAGCAGCAACAGUAGAAGAAUACAAUAAGAUCCUAGGAGAUCCGACAAACAAGUCCUGCAGACUGGGAACGGAAGAGCACCUGUAUGGCUGUGAUUCAUCAGGCAAAUUAUCUGUUUUUCUUCCAGGUGGCAUGCGGCAGUGUGAAAAUGUUAUCUAUUGGCUGGUUUCAAUUUGCACUGUUGAGAAUUUUUGCAUCUGUGUUCAUGAGGGAUAUUUGUCUCUCUAUAUAUUUUUUCAUGUUAUGCUCUUGUCAGUUUUAGUUUCAGGGUUAUACUGAUCUCAUAAAAUGAGCUGACAAUUCUUAUUCCACCUCUGUUGUAUGAAUGAGGUUUAUAAGAUAUUUAUUGUUUCUUCGUUAUGUAUUUGACAGAAUUUACCACAGAAGCCAUGUGUGGCUAGCAUUCUCUUUGUGGGGAAAUUCUGAAUUGCAAAUUCAACUUCUUAAAUAAAUACGCUGCAGUUCCA